CAUGUGGCGUAUAAAUAAACGUACCUCACCUUCCUCGGCUCAGGGGGAAAAGGGCGACAUGGGUCAGGAGGGCGACAACGGAGAAAAAGGUGAAAUUGGGCUAAAGGGAAAGGAGGGCCCCGCUGGAAGUCCUGGACUCAACGGCGUCAGAGUGAGUCUCUCCCGUCUUAAUUCAUGCACGUAAACUGUCUUCCUCAAGCUGUUUCCUAAUGUCUCAUUUCUAUGUGAAGGGUCCAGAAGGGAAACCUGGCACAUUUGGGGAAAGAGGCAAACAAGGGUCAAAGGGGGCCAAAGGUCAUCAAGGUCACCUCGGGGAGACUGGGACGGUGGGGAAGACUGGACCGCCGGGUUUCGUCGGGCCGAAGGGCUCCAGAGGAACCAUCGGACACGUGGUAAAGAGGAAUGAUACGGAUUCAUUCAUUCAUUCAUUCAUUCAUUCAUUCAACCUUCAUGUGAACGAGAGAUCACGUACAGACGACCCGCAGUCACUACGACCUGGAAUCACAAACACAGAAACAAUCUAAAAAAUGUGAUAAAUAAAGUGGAACAGUUGUAAAAUUAAAUAAAGUUAUGUAAAAUAAUUUAGCAAUUAGGGUGGAUGAAGUGAUGGAUGAUGACGUGAUGAAGUGAUGAAGUGAUGAAGUGAUGAAGUGAUGAAGUGAUGGAUGAUGAUGAAGUGAUGAAGUGAUGAAGUGAUGGAUGAUGAAGUGAUGAAGUGAUGAAGUGAUGAAGUGAUGAUGUGAUGGAGUGAUGAAGUGAUGAAGUGAUGAAGUGAUGGAUGAUGAAGUGAUGAAGUGAUGAAGUGAUGAUGUGAUGGAGUGAUGAAGUGAUGAAGUGAUGAAGUGAUGGAUGAUGAAGUGAUGGAUGAUGAUGAAGUGAUGAAGUGAUGAAGUGAUGGAUGAUGAAGUGAUGAAGUGAUGGAUGAUGAAGUGAUGGAUGAUGAAGUGAUGAAAUGAUGAAGUGAUGGAUGAUGAAGUGAUGAAAUGAUGAAGUGAUGGGUGAUGACGUGAUGAAGUGAUGAAGUGAUGAAGUGAUGGAUGAUGAAGUGAUGAAGUGAUGAAGUGAUGGAUGAUGAUGAAGUGAUGAAGUGUUGAAGUGAUGAAGUGAUGGAUGAUGAAGUGAUGAAGUGAUGGAUGAUGACGUGAUGAAGUGAUGAAGUGAUGAAGUGAUGGAUGAUGAAGUGAUGAAGUGUUGAAGUGAUGAAGUGAUGGAUGAUGAAGUGAUGAAGUGAUGAAGUGAUGGAUGAUGAAGUGAUGAAGUGAUGGAUGAUGACGUGAUGAAGUGAUGAAGUGAUGAAGUGAUGGAGUGAUGAAGUGAUGGAUGAUGAAGUGAUGAAGUGAUGAAGUGAUGGAUGAUGAUGAAGUGAUGAAGUGAUGAAGUGAUGGAUGAUGAUGAUGAAGUGAUGAAGCGAUAAAGUGAUGAAGUGAUGGAUGAUGAAGUGAUGAAGUGAUGGAUGAUGAAGUGAUGAAGUGAUGGAUGAUGAUGAAGUGAUGAAGUGAUGAUGUGAUGAGUGAUGACGUGAUGGAUGAUGAAGUGAUGAAGUGAUGAAGUGAUGAAGUGAUGAAGUGAUGGAUGAUGAAGUGAUGGAGUGAUGAAGUGAUGGAUGAAUUAAAAGGGUGAAAAUACAGUAAUAAAAGUUAUGUGUUGUACCAAAAUAUUUAUAUAUUCAUUAAUUGUUUUAAU
rnacentral:lncRNA from 1 species